rnacentral:rRNA from 1 species
UUAAAAAGCUCGUAGUUGGAUUUCAGUUGAGAACGGCCGGUCCGCCGUUUGGUGUGCACUGGCUGGUUUCAACUUCCUGUAGAGGACGCGCUCUGGCUUCAUCGCUGGACGCGGAGUCUACGUGGUUACUUUGAAAAAAUUAGAGUGUUCAAAGCGGGCUUACGCUUGAAUAUUUCAGCAUGGAAUAACACUAUAGGACUCCUGUCCUAUUUCGUUGGUUUCGGGACGGGAGUAAUGAUUAAGAGGAACAGUUGGGGGCAUUCGUAUCUCAUUGUCAGAGGUGAAAUUCUUGGAUUUAUGAAAGACGAACUUCUGCGAAAGCAUUUGCCAAGGAUGUUUCCAUUAAUCAAGAACGAAAGUUGGGGGCUCGAGGAUGAUUAGAUACCAUCCUAGUCUCAACCAUAAACGAUGCCGACUAGGGAUUGCAGGAUGUUAAUUGAUGACUCCUGCAGCACCUUAUGAGAAAUCAAAGUUUUUGGGUUCCGGGGGGAGUAUGGUCCGCAAGGCUGAAACUUAAAGGAAUUGACGGAAGGGC